UACGUAGGGGGCGAGCGUUGUCCGGAAUUACUGGGCGUAAAGGGCGCGCAGGCGGUCCGCUAAGUCCGCUGUGAAAGACCGGGGCUCAACCCCGGGGUGUCAGCGGAGACUGGUGGACUGGAGUGUCGGAGAGGGAUGCGGAAUUCCUGGUGUAGCGGUGGAAUGCGUAGAUAUCAGGAGGAACACCGGUGGCGAAGGCGGCAUCCUGGACCGGUAUUGACGCUGAGGCGCGAAAGCGUGGGGAGCGAACAGG
rnacentral:rRNA from 1 species